AUGUCCAGUUGGUUUGAGGUGGAUAUGUACAUACGCAGCAUGUUACCAGCUUGGGUUCCAAAUGAAAAUUAUGUGUGGUCACAGUUCAUGAGAAAGUUGAUAAAAAUCGCAGCUAUACAAUUUCUAAAAGAACAUACACCUCCAGAAGGGGCUAAGAAUUCAGAAGUGUUUAUGAAAAGCUACAAGAUCUGAGAGCAUCUUUUCAAAAUGGCAAGUGAGGUUGUUUAUGCAGAGGUAUCAGCCAAGGAAAGAGUGCAUUUCACUUCUCAAACUUCAGAUACAGGUGAUCCAACCAUAUACACAGAGCUGAAGGUGAAUCGGCAAUCUGACAGACCUGACAGCACACCCAAGACUACACAUACAGUGACCUGCUUGCAGAACCCACACUGGUGUUACAUUGCUGCCACCCUGUACUUCACUGCACUGAUUCUGCUUAUCACUGUCAUCAUCUUGGCGACGAAAUGUCAAUACCUCUGAGGGAGACCCUGCUGUCGUGCUGAUUUACAGGAUAACUCAGCACAGGAAGGCUCUGCUUCUUCAACAAAACAAGACAUAAUGCUUAUUUACUUUUGCAUUAUUUUUUUCUGAAGAAACUUUUAUGAAAGAAAAGAUACCAUCAGUCUGACCACCCUUCAGUUCUGUCUUUCAGGAUCUCCAUUAAACCUUUAACCUCUCCAUAUGUGGACAAAACAUAUUUUAUUACUUUUAUUUGGAAUUUGCUUAAUCCUAUAAUACCAGCAACCAUGCAAUUAUAUCAGUGUAUGCACCAAGGCAUGGGCUUAAGCUGCUGCAUCAAAAGUUGGAACUGGAUCUUGUCCAGACAACACAUCACCAGGUGGCUCAGUUUGAGACAUUACUUUUAAUUCACACCUGACUUGAUUUUGCAAUAAUUUGCAGCAUAGGUAGGCUUUUAGAUUCCAUAUGUGCAAGUGCAAAAAAUUGUGGGUAAAACAGAGAAUGUGAAAGGUUGCACUGAACUUUUUUUGAAGCCCAUGGUUGGAUGUGAUUUUUCUUCUGACAGCCUUCAGUGGGAUUUGUAUGAAACGAGUAUUGAAGGUGAAAGAAACUACUUGUUUAGUAGAAAAGUCUCAGCCCCAUCACCUGCAUUGGCUUGAAUAAAAUUAUUCUGUUCUACUUGUCCAGAAGAGCAUCUCACAGAGAUACAAUAUGUUUCUUCUGUCUCAGGUCAUAUUUGUAUUUGUUUUGUUUUUUCCCAAAAUGCUGUAGCUUCAUUUAAAUCAGAGUCCUCCACCGGAACUGAGCCACCUCAGGUUCAAAUGCAUUUGUCCGUAAUUACUAUUUUGCUGUCUGUUUUUAUAUUAUUUUCAGUUCCCAUCAGUUAUAAUUUCUUUGGAACAGGCUGAUAUCAAUGAUUUAUAGACCCUGAGUAACAAGGGUCUGUAUAGCAAAUAUUUCUAGAAUUGUUCCCUGUACCUAAGCAUAUCUGUACUUAAGCCAUGUUGCUGCUGUUGAUAAUAUACCACAUUUUUAUAGUGUAUGCACCAGAAAUCAAUAAAGAGAUUUAGUAAAGCACUUGA